rnacentral:tRNA from 1 species
GGCAGGACGUCGUAGUGGUUAUCGAGCCAGUGUCAGGUACUGGUCCCUUCGGGGGCGAGGGUUCGAAUCCCUCUCUUGUCG